rnacentral:ncRNA from 3 species
UACGUAGGGGGCGAGCGUUGUCCGGAUUUAUUGGGCGUAAAGAGCGCGUAGGCGGCCAGGUAGGUCCGACGUGAAAUCUCGAGGCUCAACCUCGAGCGGUCGUUGGAUACCGCCUGGCUAGAGUCCGGAAGAGGAGAGUGGAAUUCCUGGUGUAGCGGUGAAAUGCGCAGAUAUCAGGAAGAACACCCAUGGCGAAAGCAGCUCUCUGGGACGGUACUGACGCUGAGGCGCGAAAGCGUGGGGAGCGAACAGG